GACGGAGGAUGCAAGUGUUAUCCGGAAUCACUGGGCGUAAAGCGUCUGUAGGUGGUUUAAUAAGUCAACUGUUAAAUCUUGAGGCUCAACCUCAAAAUCGCAGUCGAAACUAUUAGGCUAGAGUAUAGUAGGGGUAAAGGGAAUUUCCAGUGGAGCGGUGAAAUGCGUAGAGAUUGGAAAGAACACCGAUGGCGAAGGCAGCCAUCUGGACCGACACUGACGCUGAGGCGCGAAAGCGUGGGGAGCAAACAGG
rnacentral:rRNA from 1 species